AUUGACCUCGGAUCAGGUAGGGAUACCCGCUGAACUUAAGCAUAUCAAUAAGCGGAGGAAAAGAAACCAACAGGGAUUGCCUCAGUAACGGCGAGUGAAGCGGCAACAGCUCAAAUUUGAAAUCUGGCCCCGUCGGGGUCCGAGUUGUAAUUUGUAGAGAGUGUUUCGGGUGAGACCACGGUCUAAGUCUAUUGGAACAUGGCGUCAUAGAGGGUGAGAAUCCCGUAUGUGACCGUGGCUCGAGCCCAUGUGAAGCCUCUUCGACGAGUCGAGUUGUUUGGGAAUGCAGCUCAAAAUGGGUGGUAAAUUUCAUCUAAAGCUAAAUACUGGCUGGAGACCGAUAGCGCACAAGUAGAGUGAUCGAAAGAUGAAAAGCACUUUGGAAAGAGAGUCAAAAAGUACGUGAAAUUGUUGAAAGGGAAGCGCUUGCAACCAGACCUGUCCGUAGGUGAUCAACCGCUGUUCUCAGUGGUGCACUCGCUCUGCGAUCAGGCCAGCAUCGGUUCCGGCGGUCGGAUAAAGGCCUUGGGAAUGUACCUGCCUUCGGGGAGUCUUAUAGCCCUCGGUGCAAUGCGGCCAGCCGGGACCGAGGACCGCGCUUCGGCUAGGAUGCUGGCGUAAUGGCUGUAAGCGACCCGUCUUGAAACACGGAACAAGGAGUCUAACAUCUAUGCGAGUGUUUGGGUGUUAAACCCAUGCGCGGAAUGAAAGUGAACGGAGGUGAGAACCCUUUAGGGCGCAUCAUCGACCGAUCCAGAUGUCUUCGGAUGGAUUUGAGUAUGAGCAUAGCUGUUGGGACCCGAAAGAUGGUGAACUAUGCCUGAAUAGGGUGAAGCCAGAGGAAACUCUGGUGGAGGCUCGCAGCGGUUCUGACGUGCAAAUCGAUCGUCAAAUUUGGGUAUAGG
rnacentral:rRNA from 1 species